rnacentral:rRNA from 1 species
GGGUAACCUGCCUGUAAGACUGGGAUAACUCCGGGAAACCGGGGCUAAUACCGGAUGCUUGAUUGAACCGCAUGGUUCAAUCAUAAAAGGGGGCUUUUAGCUACCACUUACAGAUGGACCCGCGGCGCAAUAGCUAGUUGGUGAGGUAACGGCUCACCAAGGCGACCAUUCGUAGCCCACCUGAGAGGGUGAUCGGCCACACUGGGACUGAGACACGGCCCAGACUCCUACGGGAGGCAGCAGUAGGGAAUCUUCCGCAAUGGACGAAAGUCUGACGGAACAACGCCCCGUGAGUGAUGAAGGGUUUCGGAUCGUAAAACUCUGUUGUUAGGGAAGAACAAGUACCGUUCGAAUAGGGCGGUACCUUGACGGUACCUAACCAGAAAGCCACGGCUAACUACGUGCCCAGCAGCCGCGGUAAUACGUAGGUGGCAAGCGUUGUCCGGAAUUAUUGGGCGUAAAGCGCGCGCAGGCGGUUUCUUAAGUCUGAUGUGAAAGCCCCCGGCUCAACCGGGGAGGGUCAUUGGAAACUGGGGAACUUGAGUGCAGAAGAGGAGAGUGGAAUUCCACGUGUAGCGGUGAAAUGCGUAGAGAUGUGGAGGAACACCAGUGGCGAAGGCGACUCUCUGGUCUGUAACUGACGCUGAGGCGCGAAAGCGUGGGGAGCGAACAGGAUUAGAUACCCUGGUAGUCCACGCCGUAAACGAUGAGUGCUAAGUGUUAGAGGGUUUCCGCCCUUUAGUGCUGCAGCAAACGCAUUAAGCACUCCGCCUGGGGAGUACGGUCGCAAGACUGAAACUCAAAGGAAUUGACGGGGGCCCGCACAAGCGGUGGAGCAUGUGGUUUAAUUCGAAGCAACGCGAAGAACCUUACCAGGUCUUGACAUCCUCUGACAACCCUAGAGAUAGGGCUUCCCCUUCGGGGGCAGAGUGACAGGUGGUGCAUGGUGGUCGUCAGCUCGUGUCGUGAGAUGUUGGGUUAAGUCCCGCAACGAGCGCAACCCUUGAUCUUAGUUGCCAGCAUUCAGUUGGGCACUCUAAGGUGACUGCCGGUGACAAACCGGAGGAAGGUGGGGAUGACGUCAAAUCAUCAUGCCCCUUAUGACCUGGGCUACACACGUGCUACAAUGGGCAGAACAAAGGGCAGCGAAGCCGC